AUUCAGAUGGCGGGUCCCAAAUAGGACGAAAUGCACAUCCUGGAU
rnacentral:hammerhead_ribozyme from 1 species